rnacentral:lncRNA from 1 species
AAGUGAAGUAGAAGACCAGCUCAGGGCUUAAGAUUUUAUCAAACAAGAAAACAGAUGAGAUCUCCCCAUAUCAUGAGCCCUACUGCCCACAUCACACAAGCAACAAAGCAUCCAUUAAAAUGCAUGAUAUACAUUUUCUAUUAAGGGCAAAUAUAUGAAAUACUUCAUAUGUGAGGAAGGAGAAUAGUAUCAUUAAAAUGACAAGAAUUGUUUGAACUGAGACACUGAUGCUCUAAAUCAGAUAGAUGCUCAGGCAUUGUUACACAAUGACAAUGAAACAAGCAGAUCUGAUGUGUCUAAUUUGAAAAAUGACUUUUAUGUGAUCUUUACUUAUUGCAUUGGGCAUAUCUAUUUCCCAUGCCUGAUAGACUCUGUAGACUCAGUCAACUGUAGACUCUACAGUUGAAAGAUUUGGGGACUUAGAAUGUCCAUGACUGUUGUAUUUAUUAGCUUGCUGGGGUUGACGAAUGUCCCUCAUUUCAGCCCAUCUCAUCAAAUUUAUAAAUAUUUGCUUGCCCUCAUACAUGAGCAAAUAUGCAGUACCCCAGAAAACUAUGGGCAUGGAUGUUGUUUCUAGCUCUCUGCCUUUCUCACCCCUUAUGCUUUUUCAAUGUGUAUGAUCUUGCCAAGUCAGUACCCUUUCAAUCACAGUCAACAUUUCUAAACUUCGCCACAGUGGCAAGACAGAUCCAGCAUUUGCCCAUGAAUGUGUUUUCAUCUGACCUCUGACCUCUUCCCAUUGAGGGAAGCUCUGCCCUUCAGAGCCCUGCUUAUGAGUCCCUAGAGUCAUCAUAAUCUAACAUCAUAAAUCCAACACUGUAUGGAUUCAUCUUUUUUUUCCCAGAAUUUUAAGGAAAAUCAGAAGUGGAUUUUCAGAGCUAGAUGAGUCAUUAGGACUUAGAUUUCCAGAACCGUUCCAACCUGAAACCUCAGCUUUUCCAGAAGGGAGAGAGAGACAGGAGAUUCCCCAGAGAAAAUUGGCUAGCAAGACUCUGGUUUGGAUUGAGAUGCCUUGGCUCAAUGAAUAAAGUGAAAAAGCAAUCAUGAAUGAUUUCCAAUAUUCAUCUCAGGCUGCCACAUGCAUGUACACACAAAUGCACAUAGAGUUCCACUUACACAUGUUUCCCCACAGAUAAUAUCAUGUGUAUACAUACAUACAUAAUAAACACAUAUAUAAAAUAAAAAGGUGAACAUUCAAAAAAUAUUGGUGGCCUAAAAACUUUUAAUCCUAAUUUUUUCCUAUUCUACUAUUUGUGCUUGCUCUCUUAUUCUUUAGAUGUCGUGUUCAGCUGUAACUGCAAAACUGCCUAGUGAUUAUCACUUGUAUUUUUAAUUUUUUUUAAAAGGAGACAAUUCAGUUGGUAAAAUGCAAGUAAUGCAAGUUGAGCAUUGUGUUGUAGACUUGUAAUCUCAGCACUGGAAAGGCAGGACAAGCAGGUCCUUAGGGCAUACUGGCCAGCCAAAUUAGCCUGCCAGAUUCUGAGAGGGUCUGCCAGUACAUGACUAAUACAGAUACAGCCAACCAUCAGAAUGAGCCCUGGGAACCCUAUGGAAGAGUAAAGGGAAGGAACUGAAGGGGAUUUCAACACUGUAGGAAGAACAAUAGCAACUAACUGGACCCCACAGAGUUCCCAGGAACUAAAACACCAACCAAAGAGGCAUGGCUCCAGCUACAUAUGUAGCAGAAGAUUACCCUAUCUGGCAUCAAUGGGAGGGGAGGCCCUUGGUUCUGUGGAAGCUUGAUGCCCCAAUACAGGGGGAUGCUAGGGCAGUGAGGUGGAAGUGAGUGUGUGGGUGGGGAAGCACCCUCAUAAAAGCAGGGGGAGGGGAUAUAGGAUAAGAGGUUUGUGGAGAGGAAACCAGAAAAAGGGACAACAAUUGAACUGUAAAUAAAUAAAAUAACU